rnacentral:lncRNA from 1 species
AACUUCAUUCUGUAAAGGCAAAAUAGAAAUUUUUUUCCAAAAGGAAAAGUCUAUAUGCCUUCUGUACAAACUUGUGAAAUUAGACUAAAUGGGGAAUCAUCAUGAGUCCUUAAGUAAAGGGCAACAGAUAAAAUUUCCAAAACAUUAAUUUUUUUAACAACUUUUUUUUUUUUUUUUUUUUGAGACGGAGUUUCGCUCUUGUUGCCCAGGCUCGAGUGCAAUGGCACAAUCUUGGCUCACUGCAACCUCUGCCU